rnacentral:rRNA from 1 species
UAACGCGUGGAUAACCUGCCUCACACUGGGGGAUAACAGUUAGAAAUGACUGCAAAUACCGCAUAAGCGCACAGUGCCGCAUGGCAGUGUGUGAAAAACUCCGGUGGUGUGAGAUGGAUCCGCGUCUGAUUAGCCAGUUGGCGGGGUAACGGCCCACCAAAGCGACGAUCAGUAGCCGACCUGAGAGGGUGACCGGCCACAUUGGGACUGAGACACGGCCCAA